GUAAGGAAUAUUGGUCAAUGGACGAAAGUCUGAACCAGCCAUGCCGCGUGAAGGAUGAAGGCCCUCUGGGUUGUAAACUUCUUUUAUCUGGGACGAAAAAAGGGUAUUCUUACUCACUUGACGGUACCAGAGGAAUAAGCACCGGCUAACUCCGUGCCAGCAGCCGCGGUAAUACGGAGGGUGCAAGCGUUAUCCGGAUUCACUGGGUUUAAAGGGUGCGUAGGUGGGUAUUUAAGUCAGUGGUGAAAUCUCCGAGCUUAACUCGGAAACUGCCAUUGAUACUAUUUACCUUGAAUGCCCUGGAGGUAAGCGGAAUAUGUCAUGUAGCGGUGAAAUGCUUAGAUAUGGCACAGAACACCAAUUGCGAAGGCAGCUCACUAAGGCGAUACUGACGCUGAGGCACGAAAGCGUGGGGAUCGAACAGGAUUAGAAACCCCAGUAGUCC
rnacentral:rRNA from 1 species